AUUGAACGCUGGCGGCAGGCCUAACACAUGCCAGUCGAACGGUAACAGGAAACAGCUUGCUGUUUCGCUGACGAGUGGCGGACGGGUGAGUCAUGUCUGGGAAACUGCCUGAUGGAGGGGGAUAACUACUGGAAACGGUAGCUAUUACCGCAUAACGUCGCAAGACCAAAGAGGGGGACCCUCGGGCCUCUUGCCAUCGGAUGUGCCCAGAUGGGAUUAGCUUGUUGGUGGGGUAACGGCUCACCAAGGCGACGAUCCCUAGCUGGUCUGAGAGGAUGACCAGCCACACUGGAACUGAGACACGGUCCAGACUCCUACGGGAGGCAGCAGUGGGGAAUAUUGCACAAUGGGCGAAAGCCUGAUGCAGCCAUGCCGCGUGUAUGAAGAAGGCCUUCGGGUUGUAAAGUACUUUCAGCGGGGAGGAAGGGAGUAAAGUUAAUACCUUUGCUCAUUGACGUUACCCGCAGAAGAAGCACCGGCUAACUCCGUG
rnacentral:rRNA from 1 species